AGAGUUUGAUCAUGGCUCAGAACGAACGCUUGCUGCAUGCUUUAUACAUGCAAGUCGAACGGAGGCCCUAGCCUGCUAGGUGUCCUUAGUGGCGCACGGGUGAGUAACACGUGGGAACAUACCUUAUAGUACGGAAUAACUGCGGGAAACUGUAGCUAAUACCGUAUACUCCAGUAAUGGGAAAGAUUUAUCGCUAUAAGAUUGGCCCGCGCAAGAUUAGUUUGUUGGUGAGGUAAAAGCUCACCAAGGCUUCGAUCUUUAGCUGGUUUGAGAGGACGAUCAGCCACACUGGGACUGAGACACGGCCCAGACUCCUACGGGAGGCAGCAGUAGGGAAUAUUGGACAAUGGGGGCAACCCUGAUCCAGCAAUGCAGCGUGAGUGACGAAGGCCUUAGGGUUGUAAAACUCUUUCAUCGGUGAGGAUAAUGACAGUAGCCGAAGAAGAAGGACCGGCUAAUUCCGUGCCAGCAGCCGCGGUAAUUC
rnacentral:rRNA from 1 species